AUGCUUAUUGCUGCAAAGAGUAUGUCACAGAUUAAUGAACUAAAGAAGCAAUUGAGUAAUGAAUUUGAGAUGAAGGAUUUGGGUGCAGCAAAGAAAAUACUUGGCAUGGAAAUAUCCAGAGAUAGACCGUCUAGAAAAGUAUAUCUAAGUCAGAAGGGAUAUAUUGAUAAAGUUCUUCGUCGUUUUAAUAUGCAUAAUGCCAAGCCAGUAAGUACUCUGUUAGCUGCACACUUCAAAUUAUCAUCAGCUUUAUGUCCUAAGUCAGAUGCCGAUAUUGAGUACAUGUCUAGAGUUCCCUAUUCAAGUGCAGUUGGUUCACUUAUGUAUGCCAUGGUUUGUUCUCGUCCGGAUUUAUCAUAUGCAUUGAGUGUUGUCAGUAGAUACAUGGCUAAUCCUGGAAAGGAACAUCGGAAAGUAGUUCAGUGGAUUUUUCAGAUACUUGCGAGGUACUUCUAA
rnacentral:rRNA from 1 species